AUGGCUCUAUUCGAUCUGAAUCAACCCAUCCAUUGGGACUCUGGGAGUGUGAGGAGAUACAAGAGUACGGACGAGCCGAUGCCACCGGCCAUAGAGGAGAUGGGGCGGACGGACAAUGUGCGGACCACCAUGGAGACUUUGCCAGCCACGGAGGCACUCGCUCGGACAUCCACGGCUACCACGCAGGGGGCGGUGGAGGAGUUCACUCGGACGCCGGCGGCAACGGCAGAGGCGGUGGAGGUGAUGCGGGCGGCAGCGGCCGAGGCUUCGACUGAACCAGAUUGCGAACAGAAGGCGCAGGACGCCGUCACAUAUACCGCAUGCUUUUACAGAGGAACGGCGCGCGGUGGAAUUAUGAAGCGUGGAGUCAGUAGAGCCGUGUCGGACGAAAUGCGGGUGCCUGUGAGGGUCGUGCAGCGCAUAUGGAUGAUCGGGCGCCGCGGUGGUGGAAUACAUGCCGUGGUGAGCAAGAAGCCUAAGAACUGCGGCCGCAGGCGGGUGGAGCUUGGCCCUAAAGCUGUACGUGGGCUACCCCUGGAUGGCCGCAUGACGAUUCGAGAGCUAGCCGAGGCUUUGGGUAUGAAGAAGAGCACUCUGUUCCGGCGGCUGAAAGAAGGUAAACUGAGGCGCCACAGCGAAUAA
rnacentral:rRNA from 1 species